ensembl:lncRNA
CAGAUGCAAGUGGAGGGAGGAAAUGGAGAGUGGUCAGUGGGUCAGGAGAUGACCUGUCAAAAGCCACCUGUGAACCAUCUGGAUCUCCCUCAUCUAUUGUCGAUGGAAGCUCGCAUCCUGCACUCAUUGAGCAACAGGCUGGCCCUGCUGACAUCACAGACAUCAGGACAGACCAGGAAGACACCCAUCAAAUUCUGGGCUGGAAGAUGCAGAAUACUCUGACUUUGCCCAAGACUGGGCCUUCCUCAGAAGCUCCUGAGAAGAAAAGAAUGCAGGGGCCUCAUGAAUGAGGCUCAGAAAUUCAGUUCAAAAAUCACCAAUGAGCCUCAAUCCAGGGAAGUGUAACUUAUUACCCCAAUUUUAUAAGGAAGAACACUGAGGCUCAGAGAGGUAAAGUAACCCAUCCAACAGUCAUAGAGGGGGAUCAUCUGGGUCCAAAGCACAGCAGCCGCAUGGGGAGCACCUUGUACUCUGUCUUGUGCUACCCGUUGGCAAUGCAGACAGCAGGGAGGAUGAGUGUGUCUGGAAGACGAUUAGCAUCAGCAUUUCACCUGAAGUCUCAGGGUUGAAAGGAAAAUGUUUUACAGGCAGCACUAGCUCUUCGGGGAAACCAGGGAGGGCAGUGACCAGGGAUGUGUCUCUGCUUCUGCAUGGCAUUAUCAUGCAAGCUGUGCAGUGUGCCCCAGCUCUUGAGAUCAGAGUCACUGCAGACCACCACCUGCAGCACCAAUCAUCUAUCCUCUGGAAGGAUGGAGAACAUACUCAGGUGCAGACCUCAGCCCUCUGCAUGCAGUAGAGGUGAAAUAAGUCAUUGUGGAAGGAAUGGGUGAAUGGAGGGAAUCUGCACUCAGAAUCCCACUGAUGGAAUUGGAGGAACGUGGACCCUGGAGUCUGAAUCAUUUGGUAUUACGUUCUGGCUCGAACUCAUACUCGCUGUAUGAUUUUAGGUAAAUUUCUCAACCUUCUGAAUCUCCAUUUUCUCAUUUGCAAACAGAGGUUGGAUAGGAAGACUCACUGUACAGGUUUAUGGAGCGUCAUUCAGAGAGACUAUGGGCAGACCCUGGCCUGGUGCCGGGGCCUGUGUUAAAAGUCGCUUUCUGUUUAUAGUCCUGGAGUUAGUCUUAUUAACUGGAUUCUACAGUUACUCUGUCCCUUGUUGUCUAUAGGCCUUUGAGAAAGUCACAUAUCCUGUUUUUGUUGUUGUUGUUGUUUGUUUUUGAGACAGGGUCUCACACCCUUGCCCAGGCUGGAGUGGAGUGGUGCGAUAUCCCAGCUCACUGCAGCCUUAAUCUUGACCUCCUGGACUUGAGCAAUCCUCCCAACCUCCACCUCCUGAGUAGCUGGGACUAUAGGUGCGUGCCACCAUGACCAGCUAAUUUUUCUAUUUUUUAAUAGAGAUGGGGUCUUGCUAUGUUGCCCUAGCUGGUCUCAAACUCCUGAGCUUAAGUGAUCCUCCCACCUUAGCCUCCUAGUGUUGGGAUUAUAGGAGUGAGCCACUGUGCCCAGCCUCAUAUGCCCUUUGAACCACAGUUUCCAUACCUGUGACUCAAGGAAUGAUAACAUCUGUCCUUCACGUGUGUCUCUUAUAAGGAUGGAUGAUGAUAAGCUGAUAAUGUUAAUGAGAACGACAACAGCAAAAGAUAGCUGUGCGGCUGUUGCCCAUGGAGCAGUGACUAUGGAGCCAGGUGCUUUCAAGAACAUGUGAA